rnacentral:rRNA from 1 species
CCCAGCAGCACCUCGGGAUGGCUGGGUACAUUAGGGGGACUGCCGCUGCCAAAGCGGAGGAAGGAACGGGCAACGGUAGGUCAGUAUGCCCCGAAUGAGCUGGGCUACACGCGGGCUACAAUGGCCGGGACAAUGGGAAGCCACCCCGAGAGGGGGCGCUAAUCUCCUAAACCCGGUCGUAGUUCGGAUUGAGGGCUGAAACUCGCCCUCA